rnacentral:rRNA from 1 species
UACGUAGGGUGCAAGCGUUGUCCGGAAUUACUGGGCGUAAAGAGUUCGUAGGCGGUUUGUCGCGUCGUUUUGUGAAAACUCACAGCUCAACUGUGAGCCUGCAGGCGAUACGGGCAGACUUGAGUACUGCAGGGGAGACUGGAAUUCCUGGUGUAGCGGUGAAAUGCGCAGAUAUCAGGAGGAACACCGGUGGCGAAGGCGGGUCUCUGGGCAGUAAACUGACGCUGGAGGAACGGAAAGCGUGGGGAGCGAACAGG